GUUGUUGGGUUGCCCGAGUAGCAGCGGGCUCGUGGAAUCUGCUGUGAAUCUGCCGGGACCACCCGGUAAGCCUAAAUACUCAGUGUGACCGAUAGUGUAUUAGUACCGUGAGGGAAUGGUGAAAAGUACCCCGGGAGGGGAGUGAAAUAGUUCCUGAAACCAUGUGCUUACAAUCCGUCAGAGCACUUUUUAUUGUGUGAUGGCGUGCCUUUUGAAGAAUGAGCCUGCGAGUCAGCGGCAUGUCGCGAGGUUAACCCGUGUGGGGUAGCCGUAGGGAAACCGAAUCCUAAUGGGGUGUUUUAGUGGCAUGUCCUGGACCCGAAGCGGGG
rnacentral:rRNA from 2 species